rnacentral:rRNA from 1 species
AUGGAGAACAUGGGGUUACAACAUGUGCGGGUGUUUCCUCUCACGGUGUUAAGAGAUAUUACAAGUAAUUUUUCCGAGGAGCGUGUAAUUGGACAUGGUGCAUCUGGAGUAGUUUAUAAGGGAGUACUUGAUAAUGGGGAAGUGAUUGCUGUGAAGAAACUUAACAACCCAUAUCAUUCAUCCGGGGAGAAACUUGGUAAUGGAGAAGCCCAAUUUCAUAAUGAGCUUAUGAAUCUUAUUGGGGUCCAACAUCAAAAUAUUAUACGUGGAUACAUGCCACCAGAAUACCUCUUUAAGAAGCAAAUCUCACCGAAGUUUGACAUAUUCAGCUUGGGUGUUAUAAUGAUACACUUAAUAGCUGCGCAAGAGGGAAACCAGGAUUGUCCAUAUAUGCCUUCUGAGAAAUUCAUUGAGCGUGUACAUAGAAACUGGAAAAAACGGGUGCAGGCAACAGAAUCAUCACAUAUAUUAGAGCAAGUUAGGACAUGCACCGAAAUAGCGUUAAGGUGUGUGGAGUUCCAGCGAGAGAAAAGGCCUAAUAUAACUGAGAUUGUUGAUGAACUGAAUAAGAUUGAUGUUGACAAAUGUUCGGAUAAGAACAUGGAAGAAGAGGAGCACACAACUCUGGAAAAUAAACCUGAGAUCGAAAUGGAAAAGAAAGAGAGGUCAGAACAUUCGGAGGAAAAGAUGAACGGGCUAGUCGAUAGCAGAUACGCGAGAGCCAUGAGCUCCCUGUCCGAGUUCCCCAAGCUGCUGCUUCAGUUCCUCGGCAAUGAUUACAACAUCCAUGCAGAUGGCAAGGAAGACCUACAGUACCUCUACAUGGAGCUAGAGUUCGUCCAAGCUGCCCUCCUGGAUGUGGCUGACAUGCCACAGGCUCAGGUGCAUGAUGUGUUUAAGCUCUGGGCCGAAACACUAAGGAGCGUCACAUAUGAGAUGGAAGAUAUUUUUGAUUCCAUGGUGUUGCGCUUCCAUGGGUUCGGGCAAGGCUUGGAUCUUCAUGAGAUCGGGCAAAGGAUCAACAAUGUCAUUGCAAAGGUCCAAGAAAUGAACGACAUAAGUCCUAGCUACAAUCUCAAAAAUUUUGCUGACCGAAUUGCCACAUCUACCGCUGACCCUCGCUUAUCGGCUCUAAACAAAGAUCUGAAAGAGAUGGUUGGCAUUGAAGUUUCAACGGACGAGGUAAUAAGGAAGCUGGCACAUGCCAUCAAUGGUGUUUCGAAGCAGCUAAAUAUAGUCUCCAUUGUUGGAAUGGCAGGAAUGGGCAAGACAACUCUUGCCAGGGCAGUGUACCAAAGGGUUCAAGAGCAAUUUGAUUGCACUGCUUUUGUUUCUGUAUCACUGCAUCCCAACAUUAAGAAAGUUCUCAUGGAAAUUCUUUAUCAAAUUGACAAGGAAAAAUAUAAUGACGCCAAUACAGCACAAUUUGAAGGAAGGCUGCCCAUAGAAGAACUCCGGGUACUACUUGCGAACAAGAGGUACUUCAUCGUUAUAGAUGAUAUAUGGGAUGUACAAUCAUGGGAAAUAAUCAAAUCUGUUCUAAUAGACAUGAGAAAUGGAAGUAAUGUAGUCACAACAACUCGACUUUUUGAAGUUGCUGAAAAGGCAGGUGACGUUUACAAGCUAAAAGCAAUUUCUCAUCGGCACUCCAAAGAACUAUUCAAUACAAGAUUAUUUGGUGCAAAAGGAAAAGGCCCUGAGAUCCCUGAAGAACUUUUACAGAAAUGUGGUGGUGUGCCAUUAGCAAUAAUUACAAUGGCUAGUUUGUUGGCUAAUAAACCAAGAGAUGAUUGGUCGAAGGUGUACAACCAAAUUGGUUUUGGCUAUGGAGGCAAUGAAGAUGUGGGCCACAUGAGAAAGACACUACUUCUUAGCUACUACAAUCUGCCUUCUCAUCUCAAGCCUUGCUUAUUGCAUCUUAACAAUUUUCCAGCAGAUUAUUCAAUCAGGAAAGAAACCUUGAUUUGGAUGUGGGUUGCCGAAGGUUUUGUGCAUGGAAAACUAGGAAUAGGGUUAUUUAAGCUCGGAGAGGGAUAUUUCAAUGAGCUCAUCAAUAGAAGCUUGAUCAUACCGGUCGAGGACUCGUCGCGUUGCAUCAAUCUGGCACGAAGUCAGGUGCCAGAUUGGAUAGGGAACCUGACAUCCCUAGAAGAACUAAGGCUGGACAACGUUGGCACAUCCGUAAACUUCGUGAUAGAGCUGGGAAAGCUGAAAGAGCUCAGGGAGCUCGACAUUUGGAUACAAGAGCUCGACGAGAUCUCGAAUGAAGCAUUGGUGAAGUCCCUCGGUGGUCUAGUUAACAUGGAAGUCCUACGAGUGAUGAGUAGUUGGCAGGGUGAGGAGGCCAGCUGGGACAACUAUGUGCCGCCAAUACAACUCCGUGAGUUCCACCUAACUAUCGCUUUCCCUGGACUGCCAAAGUGGAUUAAUGCCUCCUCUGUUCCGAAUCUCUCACACCUGUCUAUGGAUGUGAAGGCUAUGAAUGAGCAGGAUAUGGAUAUCAUUGGGUAUUUACCAGAGCUCAUUGGUCUCGAGCUGCUGCUCCCGCCGGAUGUCUUCCUUAGCAUCAAGGGCGACGGUUUGUUCCCCAAGUUGAGGUGCUUUGACACGCCCGCACCAUUCAGAUUCCUACCAGGAGCUAUGCCGGCCCUGGAACUCCUUCACUUCAAAGUCGACGUCCGUGCUUUGAAGCGUGUCGGCUUCGCCUUGGACGACUUCGCUACCUUGAAGAAUCUACUUCGGCUUCGGAGUGUGGAAGUUGAAAUUGACUCUAGGGGUGCCCGUCCAGUGCACGCGACAGGGGUUGAGGAAGCCGUGAAGCGGACAGUAGACAAUCAUCCCAACAAUCCGACCGCUAGUAUCAGGAGAACCUGA